GACGAACGCUGGCGGCGUGCUUAACACAUGCAAGUCGAACGAGCGGCGGACGGGUGAGUAAUGUCUUGGGACUGCCCGAAAGAGGGGGAUCACUACAGGAAACGGUGGCUAAUACCGCAUUCCGACGGAUCAACCAUAUGGGAUUUGCUAGUAGGUAAGGUAAUGGCUUACCUAGGCGACGAUCCCUAGCUGGUCUGAGAGGAUGAUCAGCCACACUGGGACUGAGACACGGCCCAGACUCCUACGGAGGCAGCAGUGGGGAAUAUUGCACAAUGGGCGCAAGCCUGAUGCAGCCAUGCCGCGUGUAUGAAGAAGGCCUUAGGGUUGUAAAGUACUUUCAGUCGGGAGGCGUUACCGACAGAAGAAGCACCGGCUAACUCCGUGCCAGCAGCCGCGGUAAUUC
rnacentral:rRNA from 1 species